rnacentral:rRNA from 1 species
AAUCAACGCUGGCGGCGUGCCUCAGACAUGCAAGUCGAACGAUUAAAGCUCUCUUCGGAGAGUGUAUAGAGUGGCGCACGGGUGAGUAACACGUAAGUAAUCUACCUUCGGAGUGGGGAAUAACACCGAGAAAUCGGUGCUAAUACCGCAUAAUGCAGCGGCAUCGCAAGAUGACAGUUGUUAAAGAUUUAUCGCUUGAAGAGGAGCUUGCGGCAGAUUAGCUAGUUGGUAAGGUAAUGGCUUACCAAGGCUACGAUCUGUAACCGGUCUAAGAGGACGGUCGGU